GAAAAUAAAAACCUAUUCUUUUUAAUUUUUCAUUUUUUUUAAAGAGGAAGGAAGAAAGAAAGAGAGAGAUUCCCUCUAUCUGUUCUGUUGGCUGGAGGAUAAUGCCUCAAGGCUUUCCCAACCUCUGCUUCAGUGCAUGAUGGAUGAAGUCCCACCCACCUUCUGCUGUUUCUCCUCCCCUUCACUUAUUUGCCUUUGGUGUAUUUACACUCUCACUAUAUUAAGUUACAGCAUUCCUUCUCCUUACUCCAUUCCUCGCCUUUGCUCUGUGAAGCUUCCAGCACCCAACUGUGAUGACUCUAAGUAUUUUACUGCUCUCUAAAAGGAAACUCUGGGGUGAUGCAAGGUUCUUGUGGUAAAUAUAAAUUCUAAGGAUUGCCUUUAUGUUGUGUCUUGCUCUAUUUGAUGUACAGUCCUACUUAACUGAAGAACAUAAUGUGCAUGCUCCUCAGCAGAACACUGCAAUUUUAACACUUUUUGGAGACUUUGCUGUGACUCUAGAGCCGUGACUCUACUUUCACAUUCUUUUUUUUUUUUUUGCCUUUGUUUAACCAAAUCUUUAAUGUCUACCAAAAAAAAAGUGAAGUGUGAUUGGUGCAGAUCACCACUGUGGGUUUUCAUGGCUGGGCUCUUUUAGUCAUUUCCUGAGAGCUCAGUACAGAGCUGCCACAAUGCAGGAAGCAGCAACAGGCGUAGUGAGGCUGAGCAUGUCGUUGGAGAGCAGCUUGCUGUAGGUGAGGGCUUGUUCUCCUUGCUGAGAUGUAGGAAUUGCUGGGAUUGAUGCUCAGGCCCUUCAGGAAGAACCUCUGCUGUUCUUUGGUCACAGCAGCGAAGAUGAUUUGGGCAUGAAAAUGCUGAGCCAGGAGCAACAGCUAUGUGACUUCUGAGUGAUGAGAGAUGUAAGUUAAAAUCUGGAAUUCAAGAGCUGGAAGAUGAGUGCUUUUAAAAAGUAUUACAGUCUCUCUCCCAGGGCCGUUAGGAGGUCUCUGUCGGAACAAGAUGCUGGCACCACUGCCUUGAAGGAGUAUCAUUGGUACCACCAAAUGAGAAAUAAGAAGGUGAGCAAACAAGCUGUUUUGGACCCAGAGAAAGCGCUCGGAGCAUACAGGUGGCAAACACAUCCUCGUCUUCCCUGGAGGAUAAGCAAAAGAGCACGCUCUUGCAGCCUUAGAGGGGAAGGUAAUGAUUCGAGUCUUGUCAAAAGUUCUGCGAGCAUGGAUGCUACCAGCGCCGAAGAUCUCCAACAAGAUUCAACGGAGAUGCUUUUCCAGGCGAGGACCAGAUCGCUGCGGGUUCCCUUCAACCGCUCUCUGUCCGAACCCGUGCCACACUCUGCGAGCAGGAAUGCCAAGCCCUUUCUGCAGGCGGUGCGCUCUGUGGAUUGCGAGCAGCACGGCUAUUUUGUCCGUGGCAUCUUCUCAACUCUUUCAAGUGGCUUUUCAAAGAUAAUAAAUCAAAGAGGGGAGCAGCCCCAAAGUGAGUCACUGGAGUGGAAAACAGAUGAUAGUCAAAUUGACCUGUGCACAGAUGUAAAAGGACCACCUACGCACAGGCUGUCCUGCGGCCAGUCCCCCUAUACCGAGACGACGACAUGGGAGAGGAAGUACUGCAUCCUGACUGACAGCCAGCUGGUGCUGCUCAACAGGGAGAAGGAGGUGCCCACCGAGGGGUUGCAGGAGCCUCAGGAUGCCACCAAAGGCCGCUGCCUGCGCCGCACAGUGAGCGUGCCCUCCGAGGGCCAGUUCCCAGAGUACCCACCAGAUGGGGCCUCCAAGCUGGAUCCCAAAGCAGUGCAGGUGCCUAAGCAACAGAAUUACCUGCAUGCACGGUAAAAAUCACCCGGAUGUUUACCUGGAUCAUCUUGCAGGACUUGUCCAAUCGACUCGAUCCUCAGCGAUGCAGUCUCUUCUAAUGGACUGGAAGAGGUUUUGAUCAUAAUUGGUACCCAGUAGUUGUUUGAUGGUGGAGUUCUAUAGCAAGUGAGCUUCACUGGGCUUCCUUUGUAUUUCCCUUUCCAGCCUUGGUGGCUUUUGUGCAGUUCAGUAUGCUAUAACUAAUACUUUGUUGUAUUUUCUCAGACAUAUCUUCUCGUGGCUUUUUUCUUCCUAUCUAGUUAUCCCAAUAAAUGGGGAAGAGCUAUCGCUGCGAAUUUCACUUUCUUCCUUUAAGUUAUACCUGCUAGAAUUUACAUAAUGUGUUUAGAGCACGAGACCUCAGGACUGAAUACAGAUCAUACUUUGCAUUUGCUUUUAGCCUGGGUUUUUACCCAGGCAUUUAGUUAAUUGUUAUAACGGUCUGUGAGUUGGGCCCCAGUCUGUUUGUUUUCCCCAAGUGAGUAAAACAAGAUAGAAAACGUACUUCAAGAUGAAACAUGAAUGGCUUUAUUUAUUUUUAUACGAGGCUUGCUCUUUCAUUAGGCAGUGCUCAUCUGAAAUAUGCUGCUUGGGCUGCACAUAUCUCCUGAUGCUUGCUUGCUUUCUGCUUUUUAUUGCUACCUGUAAUUUUGUUGGCUCGUAGGCAUUUUCACCAUGCUAGAAGAAAUAGUAAGUAAAUACCAACUGCACCCGACGAGAUCUCCUUCUCAUUAGAGCUGUCAUUUGAGCACUCUGAAACAACCCUAAGGGGCCAACGAGAUAAAAAUAACCUCUUCUGUUCUGAUGAAGUUGUGGAUGCCAUGAUGUUACACGCCAUUAAUAUGCUGCAUGCGCUGCGUGUGUGCGUGCAUGGAGAUGGAUGUAGGUGUGUGAGGAGAGCCAACCACCAGGGCUGGACAGGCACCUGCGUUACUUCUGCCCCGUGUAGGUGCAGCUCGCCAUGAAAAUUGCUAAUAAAAAUGUCUUAGAGCAGCAAAGCUGCAUCUCUGCUCGGCUUCUCACCUUCCAGCGUGCUGCCUUUGUAAAGCAAGAAACCAGCUCUGCAGUUCCUGUUGUCUGUGAGACGAAUAUUGAAUCCCAGUGGUUUGUCUCUGUAGUAAACCACUCCGCUGGUGGUUACCUACAUGACUAACAUCUUCAAAAACGAGCUCCAGCAGCAAGCCCAUAAGUGCUCCAACUCUUCCAAGCAGAGCUCGGAACCCCUUAUUUCUCAAAGUGUGUUUGUGAAAGAAAUCAUGAAGCACAACAAGUCGAGUGCUGCAGGGUUUUAUUGUGUGUUUGCAUUGUAGCUAGUCUGUAUGACUAAUUGGCCUUUUGUCAGAGGAGAAAAUAGUGCUGGAGAUGGCCUUGAAAUCCUAAGUGUGUUCUGGUCCAUGGCUAUGGCUCCAGUAGGGCACCCUGGUAAGAAGCCUCUAGGCAUUAUUGUAUUUUAAAAUGUAAAGGAAGCUGUCUGUGCAGAUGGGUUUUGAAAACAGCAUGGCUAUUUUCACCUUUAAGGUGAGUAAAAAGAAUAAUCAAUUAUCAGUUUCUCAUAGCUAGCUAUGGAAAGGGGGUGAAGAUAUUGGGGUGGGUGCUUCUUUGGUCUGUGUCAGCUGGGGACGUUUGAACGCCAUUGCACCUGAGAGGCAGUCUUUGCCUAUAACUAAGUAAUUGGUGGCAUUGAACUGGUUUUGUAUUUUUCAGAUGCUUGUAAUUAAGCUAGACUCGAGAGGCGGAAUGAAUUGAUUCUUUUUUAUGAAUCACAUUCUCUAUUCCCUCCAGUCACAGACCAAAGCGCUGUCGUAUCAGGAUGUGCACAGAUGAAAAAAAGGAAGCCCCAGUCCCUGGGAUCCUGCUGUAUCUGCCUUUUAUUCCCCUAACCAGGAGCUCACACAUCAGCAGUCUGCCCCUUCCCGGCAAAGGCAGCACAAAGAUUUCAGAGAAAGAUACCUGCAGAAUGAACACAGGCACAGAUUUUCUUGAUUGCUGGACAGUAUCUUUAUCUUGGGACUUGCUGCCUUGGCAAGGAUGGGAUGCUCUGAUGUUUGCCGUGACAGAGACCACAACCAACCCCUUAUGAGUAAUGACAGACAGGAACUGUGCUUCCCAACAUGCUCACCCCUUCCUGCCAUCCCUGGGUGGGUUCUUGGGGCUCCUGCCAGCCCCGGCGCGUGGCAGGGUCCUGCUGUGACCCACGGCUGCUCCAUGGCACUGCCUUUGGGAUCAGCAAGACCCCUGCAGGCUUUGUUUCCAUGACCUCAUUUACAAGGUCACCAACCUCAUUCUUCUCACUCUAACCCCUGAGGAUGUUCUUUUGUUCCUGAUUGUUUUCCCUGCCCUUUUCCAAUCUGUUUCUAAUUCAGAAAAAUAGAGAUGGAGUAGUAAGCACCAUCUCGCAAAGCAGGGGGGUUUAUUUCAGCUUUCCUUCUGCCAACCUGAGAAAAAGCUCUUCACAAUAGAAUACAGAUUCCCAAAGCAUUGUAGGUUUGGGUUUCAAGUGACCAGAGCACGGAGCAGUGUGAAAUUCAGAUGGAGCCAAAGAGCCACGUCCUGGCUGGAGGUCAGGGAGGCAAAGCGCAGCCGAGCAAAGCGAGCUGAAGUGUGGCAUGGGAAGAGCAGUGCAGUGCAAAUGGGUGCAGAGAGCACUACCUGCCUGUGUCCCUGGGCACUGCCCUGCAGCCAUCCCGACCUAACUGACUCCUGGGACUAGUGCAGCACCAAGAUAUUUAUUUGCAUAAAUGUUUAUUUGCACAAAUAACACUGCAGAUCACCAAUAAGCCAGGUGAUAAAUGAAAAGUGUCCCGUAGGGAUGUCUGCAAUUCAUUGGUUUGAUGGAGUUUUCUAUUUGAGGGUGAAAAGGGGAAGAGCUGUCUGCUGCUUUUUUCUCCCCCAGAGAUUGAGAGUGGAUGAGAGAGUUUCAGACUGUUAUCCAUAGAAACGAUGUGAUUUAGCUGUGGUCCUGGUCCCUGAGAGCGAGCAAUGCAGAGAGCAAUUGUGAUUUAAUACUGAGCCUAGGAGAGGUGCAUUGAUUUUUACAGCAGGUAAGGAUUAUGCAAGAGCAGCCUCCAGCACUGCCUGUGCAGUCAGGGAGGGAACCAUCUCAUUUUUUGCCUGCUAGUGACAGUAUAGAUUUGUAUUUACUUUUUACACAGCUCAGCAAAAAUACUGCUCUAUGGGCAUCACAGCAGAUUGCUGUUGGUUGGUGAUUUUGAGUUAACCUGUCUUGACAAUUCUGCUGUAUCUGGGUCCUGUUUUGUCCUGGGGACUGAGCACGUUGUCAGUUUGCUCUUGCUUUUUGGAGGAGAAGGGAAGGUAGUUGCAUUUUUAGCUUGUUACAGGCACCUUGUGAGCGUCUUCCUUUCCCUUUCCCACUCUUAGAGAGGCAGAAACUCAUUGUAUUGAUGGAGCCUUGUUUCAUUGGCUGCGAACCUGCAUUGCUUCGGGAUGUGCGUGGAGGGAGGACGGAGGUGAGGAGAGCCAGCAGGUCCCUGUUGUUACUUCUCAGCUCCUUCUGUUUUGAACAACCGACUUUUUGCUGAGCUCCCCCCAUCCUGAGCGACCACCUCUUGUUGAAAACAGGGGAGCUUGGGCUCCGGCUUUCAUUUAUGACUCAGCAAAGCUAACAGGCUGUGUUAAAUUACCGAAGCGGCUUUGAUGUGAUUUCCUGUGGGUGAGGAGUGGAGCAAGCCAAGCCUAUUACGUUUCUCAUUACUAGUUGAUCUAAAAGGAAAGGUGCUCGCCUUGCUCCCCAGCUCCAACUGCAUACAUCACUCUUGUUUGCUUUCAUUACGUUUACAAUGGGAGCAGCAGAAACCGUCAUUAAAUCCUCCAUAACGCAGCUCCCUUUGGGAGCGCAGCACUUACAGGGGAAGGUGUGCUUAGGGAAAGGGGGGUGGCAAGGAGGAACACAUCUGGGAUAAACCCAGCAGCCUUCCUUGGGCCCGGGCUGCUGCUGCUCACCAGCACUGACCUCGCUCCAGGCAUUCUGUUCCCUACGGUGCCCAAGGGGAAUCACCCACCCUCCAGCACCAGGAUGGGCCGUGCCCAAAGCUCAGCACCGAGGGAGAAAUCACCCUGACACUGCUGUGCUGAGUGGGAUGCAGCAGAGUUCCUGCCCCAUCCCUGCAGCCAGCAGCUCGGCUCUGCUCCGUCCAUUCUCCGGGGGCAGCUGUGCGGUGCCCAGCCGUGUGCUCGGCAGCUCAGUCCCUGCUGGUGCUUCCGAGCUGAGUGCCAGAGGUGUCGUUGGUUAAGAGAGACAUAACUCAGGGUGAGCCACUGCUACUGCAGGGUCCGGCUGUCCUCGCCUCUUAGAAUGCUCCAUUUUGUUGCUCUCCGAGUAUCCAACAGAGACGCGUGUCAUAAUGCUGCUGGAAUCGCAGUCGGCUGUUCGGAGGCAUCACGAGCAGUUGUGUCGCCGAAGGAGGCUUCUCUCUCCUUUUCUUCACUGAUUUUGCCACUCAGCUCCCGUGGCACCGGCUGGCCGCCCGUCUCCACACAGCUUCCUCGCUGCUCUCAAUCGGGAGACGCAGGGAAAUUUUCUGUAACGGAGGGAAGCCGGCAGUUGGGCGUCUGUUAAUAGCCUGAAAGUAACUAAUGAGGAUGUGCAGUCGGAGCGAUUGAUUGAAUAGCUGCAGUCCUCUGCUCCCUUUUCACUCGCUCUCUCCCUGCUUGCCGUGGCAGGGAGGGGGAGCGGAGCCCCAGCGUUCUGCUGGGUGGAAGUAGCACGGAUCCCCAGGGCCGGGCAGCCAGAAAUGGAAGUUUAAACCGUAUCUGUCUCCUGGAAGGAAAACAGCAGGAGAAAGAACGCCGCUGUCUGGAGUCACGCUUUAUUCCUCUUCGUUAAGACUCGGCAUUUAACAAUGGACUUUCUGCUAGGAAGUAAUUUUCUCCCUCCCCGCGCUAGGAUGGUUUGUGGAGCUGUGUUCCUUUAAGUCUGGUGAUCGAGCCGGAGAUGGGCAGCACUUGUGACAAAGAGGUCCCAGCAGAGAGAUCUCCUCGCAGACGGAGCAUCUCCGGGACCAGCACCUCUGAGAAAACCAACUCCAUGGAUGCUGCAAAU